GGGGCUGGCAAAGAGAGGAUUGGCUGCAAGUUUUUGUAGGGUGGGGAGAGCUGAGCCCAGAGCUGAGAGCAGGGGAGGAAAAAAAACACUGCAAAGUUGACUCUUUGUGCCGCAGACUUUUGUGAUACCUUUCCAAAGCGCCUUUCUUUUUGCUCUCUGUGGGGCUAGGAUUCAGCAGUAAAGGUUGCUUAGCAAACCCUGCGGGGCAGCUGAUCCAAAGAGCUUUCCACUCCAGUGAUCAGUGAACCUGACCAGCAAGCCUGUGGAUCAAGUGUCACCGAUGAAAACAAAGUUAUCUCCGUUCAGAAUAGACCCUAUCUUGUGGUAAGGAAGGAUUAGAAAGAAAAAUUAAGGGCUAAAGAUGAGAAAUGAAUUGGAGCAAAUGCCUGUGCUUCAGCUUUGCUCUCAGUCCUCCCCCCACCUCACCCGCACAGUUUCUCAUCUAUUCACCUCUGCUGCUGCCAAAGAAGAAAGACAGAUUUUUUUUGUGUGUGCAAUUUUCCUUAUAAAAUACACAGUGCCUAAUUCUGAAUUCAAUUCAAGCAUUGCUGCUAUUUCCCCCCCCCCAAGUACUUUAUUGAGACUGCUUCAGUUCACAGCCUUUGUCCUGUUCAACUGCAUUGUCAUGCUUGACGAUAGUACGUGUGCGGGAACACAUUAUACUUUUCAAAUCUGCAUUUAAUUUUGUUUUAUUGAAUUGGAAAUCUCACUUGCAAAAAAAAAAAAGGGCAUAAGGGGAAGGAGUUCUGAAUCAACCCAUUUCUAGAAGGAAAUCUCCCUGCUAGACCCUUUCUGUCUCUGCUAUCUUUCUCUCAGAGUUUUUCCUUGCAAAUCUUUGGAAAGUAGUUAUCUUUGGGUGAGUGAAAAGGUAAGUGUAUGUCUUAUUAGCAGAGUCUUUGUCACAUAACGAUAGCGGGGGGGGGGGAGGGGGUCCAGAGCCAAGAUUUUGUUGUAAAGGAUUUUGCUUGUCUUACGUGUGUCUGCAACAAGAAAGCACAUUUUCUUGCAAAUAUUGGCUCUGCAAAAUAUUUAGCAGAGAGCAAGAAAAAAAAAAAAAAAGGGAGACAGUGAGAUUUGCAUCAACAAAAAGUUCUGCAGUAGCUAACAUUUAGGGGGACAUUUUUUCCCUUACCCAUUUACGACGGUUUUUGCACUAUUUUUUUUUUUUUUUACAGAUAUAUAAUUUGCCAUGGGGACAUCAAAGCAAAAUCAGCCAAUAGGUUGUUCUCAUGUUAGCUGAACUGCCCUAGCCAAAUGCUGGACAAAGAUACCUGGGGGGAGAGAGAAAAGAAGGUGACAAGAGAUUGUUCCCUGGCGAUACUGCUGAUUGGCAGAGAUAAACACAAAUAACUUGGGAGGAUAAUUGAGUUAAUGAAAAAUGUUAUAAUGAGAAGAGUUUUCAGUCUGAAAGUCCAUCUGGUGAAAGGAUUCUGCCUUUUCACGACGAGAAACUCUCUCGCAACAAAAGACGGUGGCUUAACAAGUUUGAACAGCAAACAGGAGGCAGAUGCAAAGUAGCUUUCCUUGUUAUGCCCUCCUGCAAGUUUUUAGUUUGUGCCUCAUUUUUUCUAUUAAAUAAAUCCUCUUCUACAGAAUAGGUGGAAAAGUGGGCAGCCAAGUUCACUUUUUAAGUUGACAAUUUCUUUUCUUGUCAUCUUAACUGGCAGCAGGAUGCUAGUUUUGUUCUCAGAAGUCGCAUGAUUUUACUAUCGGUCUCCGGUCCGUGGUGCAGGCAGGCUCUUUAACCAGAAGAGUGUGAAUUACAUUUCUCAUUUCGUCCCCCCUCUUCUUUGUGCUCAUUCAGAUCGUGUCGCUGCUGCCCAAAACGACGGCUCGCAGGCACUGAGCAGCGAGAAAGAGAGGCAGGCGGUUUCCUAGCGAGGGGGAUCCUAUCCAUACGGGACGUUCAGAGGAUUUGUCUUUCAAACCCUACCAAUAUUUGCUGUGGCCAUAUUGACACGCAUCAGGCGUGUUUGCUGAGAGCUGGCUGCUGUUUCUGCAUUGAAGUCAGUCGUGUUUUUAUGAAGCUGUGCACGUGUGUGUGUGUGUGUGUGUGUGUGUGGAGGGGAGAGGACAAACCCACCCCGGGUGUUUUCCUUGAAAUUUGAACAAUGUCCACUUGUCAUUUCUAAAGUCCUCGUUCUCCCUCGCGCUGCCUGAUCCCCUCCUCGUCACGCUGCAAACCGCUCGUUUGCAUCAUUUCAGGUUGUGAUGUCAUCCGCGCCGCCUUCUGACCUCAUCGCUGGAUCCAAAGAAGCUCUUCAGUCGAACAAAAAGUCCUUGCCUCAUAGGACAGGAAAGCCAGGGAAAUGCUGCCUGGUUGUGUUGGUGCUGGGAGAAGUUUCCUCCUUUUCAAGUUUGCAAUGGCUAAUAUUCAUCUGUUGGGGCAGGGGCCAAAACAGAGCGAAUAGGCCUGUAUUGCAACCCUUUUAAACAUAAACCCCAAGAAAGUAAUGUGAAAAAAACCAACCCUCUCUCAUCAUGCUAGGAAGAGCAGUUAUUAUAUUGAUACAGGGCACAAAAGCCCAUGCCCCUAACAUCAUACCUCCUCGAUUCCCCAGUAAACGGUAGGCCUGCACAAUAACUCAAUGGGGGAGUUCGGGGGGUGAAGUUUAUUAUUUGAAAGUUAUCUACUCACUUCCCCUGCUUCUAGGUCAGGAAAUGCUUUAAAAUAAGAGAUCUCUGUUGGGCUGAAUGCAUGCAAGGCAAUGUCAGCAACCUCGACAUGUUAUAUGAGUUAGAUGCCCAAUUGCCCAAAUAAUAACAAAAAAAAGACUAUGGGAAGUGUCCGGAAGACUGCUGUGAGCGGCGGUCGGCGCAGAAAGUCUUCGUACGUUGAUGCGAGAUGGUAACAGGUUAAUCAGCCUAUCUUACUGGGGUUGUACUUAGGGAAAAAGAUCUUACAACUCCCCCACAACCUUUGCCAUUUUGCAAGCAGUAAAUCAUUUCUCAUAAUGCGCUUUCUUUUUUGGAAACAACACAGCAGAAACAAUACCACUUUGGCCUAAAGGGGCUCAAAGUGAACAGCUCCCGUGAUUCUGCGCAUGCACCUCGAAAGGCAAAUUUGGGGCGUGCACACUCAGGUGAGUACUGGGCACAGCUGGGGUGCCCAGGGCGUCAGAGUUGUGCAAGGCCCUUGUGACGCUGCUGGGCCAGCGCGGCACGACGGUAUUGGAGGGCCAAAGAGAUGGGCGGCUGGGAGUGAUUUGGCAGAGGAGCGGCACGUGCAUCACAUCCUGUCUUAGCAAAGCCUAGUGCAGUCCAGAUCCAGUCCAGCUCAGCAAAGUUUCCAUUUCUCCCAUCUGGGUUUCUUAAAUGCCUUAUGCCACUUUCUAAUUUGCCUUUUCCCAGAGGUCUGUGUCUUGCUUAAAAAUGCAAGAGCCAGUGAGUUGAUAAUGGCUUUGCAGCAGGAUUAUGGUGCAUUUUGGACAUUUUAACAAGAAUUUUUGAAUCUUUCAUUUUUGAUUUAACCUGAACUAUUCUUUAAAAAAAUUGCUUGCUUG